CGUCUAUAUACGUAUAGCAUAUCAAUAAGCGGAGGAAAAGAAACUAACUAGGAUUCCCUCAGUAACGGCGAGUGAAGCGGGAAGAGCUCAAAUUUGAAAUCUUCAAGGUUUUACCUUGACGAAUUGUAGUUUAAAGAAGUGUUUUCUGUUGGAUGUUUUGGUAAAAGUUCUUUGGAAAUAGGACAUCAUAGAGGGUGAGAAUCCCGUAUUUGACCAUUAUUUCCAACUUUGUGAUACACUUUCAAAGAGUCGGAUUGUUUGGGAAUGCAGUCCAAAAUGGGUGGUAAAUUUCAUCUAAAGCUAAAUACUGGCGAGAGACCGAUAGCGAACAAGUACCGUGAGGGAAAGAUGAAAAGAACUUUGAGAAGAGAGUUAAACAGUACGUGAAAUUGUCAAAAGGGAAGCGUUUGACACCAGUGUUGUUUUCUCGAAAAUCAAUUAAAAAUGGUGGGAUUUUGUGUUGUAUUGACUUUAUCAGCUUUCUGCACUUUUUUCCUGUCUUUUUUAAUGCACUUUUCGUUUAACAAGUCAAGCAUCAAGUUUCUUUUGUCGUAAAAGGGUCAUUGGAAGGUGGCUUUCUUUUCGGAGAAAGUGUUUAUAGCCUUUGACUUCUGCAAUCGGAGAGAUUGAGGUCUGCAGCGUAGAUCCUUCGGGGUUAGAUACAUUUGUGCUAAGUUAUAGCCUUUCAUAGACAACUUGUUGACUAUGAUCAGUCAUGUAGCUUACUCGCUUAUGUUAUUUUACCUACGCUUAGGAUGUUGACGAUCAGCUGAGCGCG
rnacentral:rRNA from 1 species